rnacentral:piRNA from 1 species
UCCCUAUAGUAACUUAAUCCCUGAGAUAAA